rnacentral:rRNA from 1 species
UGUACCCUACGGGGGGCAGCAGUGGGGAAUAUUGCACAAUGAGCGAAAGCCUGAUGCAGCAACGCCUCGUGAAGGAAGAAGGCCUUCGGGUCGUAAACUUCUGUCCUUGGGGAAGAAGAACUGACGGUACCCAAGGAGGAAGCCCCGGCUAACUACGUGCCAGCAGCCGCGGUAAUACGUAGGGGGCAAGCGUUAUCCGGAUUUACUGGGUGUAAAGGGAGCGUAGACGGU